AUAUGUAGUAAUACCAUUUCAACUGCUGACACUCCUGUAAUUGUACAGUUUAAUUGCGGUUAUUAUACAGCUAGGCUCGUAAAAAUUACUGAAAGACAUCGGCAAGGACACCUCUUGUCGCUGUUUUCUUUACACAAGAACGCUGGAAUCGCACUUAAAUUUGAAGGGACGGUCUUCUUCUAUAGCCAGAGAGUGGAUGCCAUUUGCAGCCAAUAACAGAACAACUUGAAGUAUUGGUCAACGGCGUUGCAGAGCAAAGACAUUAAAGUUGUAGCUGACAUGGAAGACUGAAAGUCAUCUGAAUAUUUUGAAAAGAGUUACCUGUAUCAUUAUGAUUCGCGAAAACACCUAAAGCUCCGCGAGGCUCUGGCAGGGGGUAGUGGCGACCCCUGUUGUACUCUUUCGCCCCAACUUUCUCUCACUGUUUCUUGAAUAACGCGAUGGACUGGCGUCCCGUCCAGCUGGGGGCAACACAUACGCCAUAAAAACCGGGAAACUGGGCUCAUGAACCUGGCUAAGUUUUAAAAGGACGCAUAAAAAAAGAAUAAUAAAAAAAUAUAUAUAAGACAAGGAAGAAAAUGGAAGAGAGAUUCAACUGACAAACAUCAGUAAAAUUUACUUACUAUAAUCAUAGGAAUAAAUAAAUACAUAUCUCCACUCUUACAGCUGUUUCUACUUCGGGUAUCCAGAAUGCUACAGUUGACAUAUCAUACAAAAAUUGAACUCCAAUGCUUCAUCAGAGAGUCUGUAAGUCCAUAAUGGUAAGAUUUACUGACUUUCUGAUGAGGCUUUGGAGUUUAAUUCAUGCUGUAGCAUACUGGACCCCGAAGUAGAAACAGCUGUAAGAGUGGAGUUGUAUUUAUUUAUU